UGGGGAAUUUUGGACAAUGGGCGAAAGCCUGAUGCAGCAACGCCGCGUGCGGGAUGACGGCCUUCGGGUUGUAAACCGCUUUCAGCAGGGACGAAAGGUUUUUCNGACGGUACCUGCAGAAGAAGCACCGGCUAACUACGUGCCAGCAGCCGCGGUGAUACGUAGGGUGCGAGCGUUGUCCGGAAUUAUUGGGCGUAAAGAGCUUGUAGGCGGUCCGUUGCGUCGGAAGUGAAAANUCAGGGCUUAACCCUGAGCCUGCUUCGAUACGGGCGGACUUGAGGGAUGUAGGGGAGAACGGAAUUCCUGGUGGAGCGGUGGAAUGCGCAGAUAUCAGGAGGAACACCAGUGGCGAAGGCGGUUCUCUGGACAUUUCC
rnacentral:rRNA from 1 species